AUUUGAAAAUGCCGUUGAGGGUUUCUGUAAGGAAUGGAAAAUCUCAUGAAAAAGUCCAGCCAAUGGGAGGUUAGCUUACAUUCCUGACAUCCGAAGCGCAGAGGCUUGACCAAUGAGAGAAGUCAAGAGAAAACUGAAAUAGACCAAGAGGAAAACCGUCGCAUAAAUCUCUGUAGUGAAGCCUUUGUGGCUGUGGUGUCCGCUGUAAAGAAGAUUCUGGAGAUUUCUACAACUGUGAAGGUUCCAAGGACACUUUCGUACCCGAGUGAGAUGCUAAGACGCUCGAGAGUAAUUUAGGAGAGGCAAGAGAAGAGAACAGGGAGACAAGAGGAUCGCCAUGGCAAGAGGAUCGCCGUUAACUCAGUGAAACUAAAUAAGAAGCUGGUAAUUCAGGGCUGUUAUAGAAGUUUUUCUUGACGCCUCAACUUUUAACAAUUUUGAUUUUUUUUUUUUUUUACGGCGGGAGUCGGGGUCUGUGCUCUUGUUGUUCCGAGAGGGUCGAAAACCCAGAAUGACCUUUGUCUGCUUGUAUUAAUCCUUUUUGUGUAAUAAAGCCCAGACAUGCCAAGAUAUUUUUUUACUUCCUCAUUAACAACUAUAAAGGUUGCUGCUGUUCACUGAUCAUGUAGAUGGCAAAUGAGCCUACC